rnacentral:tRNA from 1 species
UCCCAGGCGGCUCAGACGGUAAAAGCAUCUGCCUGCAAUGCAGGAGACCAGGGCUUGAUCCCUGGGCUGGGAA